GUAGGGUGCAAGCGUUGUCCGGAAUUACUGGGCGUAAAGAGUUCGUAGGCGGUUUGUCGCGUCGUUUGUGAAAACUCACAGCUCAACUGUGAGCCUGCAGGCGAUACGGGCAGACUUGAGUACUGCAGGGGAGACUGGAAUUCCUGGUGUAGCGGUGAAAUGCGCAGAUAUCAGGAGGAACACCGGUGGCGAAGGCGGGUCUCUGGGCAGUAACUGACGCUGAGGAACGAAAGCGUGGGUAGCAAACAGGAUUAGAUACCCUGGUAGUCCACGCCGUAAACGGUGGGCGCUAGGUGUGGGUUCCCUCCACGGGAUCUGUGCCGUAGCUAACGCAUUAAGCGCCCCGCCUGGGGAGUACGGCC
rnacentral:rRNA from 1 species